ensembl:lncRNA
CUGUGCAGUUUAGUUAGAGACUGCUUGGUAAGACAGACCACACACAGACUCACACAUUGCCAUUGCGAUGAAUAAACUGUGAAUAAAACAAGGAGGUGAGCUGACGUCUUUGUGAGAUGAUCAAGCAAUGGAUCUACUGCCUCUACAAACAUAUCUCUGGUCUGCAUUUGGAUGAUGUAGUGUGUUAACCUUGAACACCAGCAGCAAUGAAACCUUACUGGGGAACGCCACAGACGUGAGAGACAGCAGGCCUGGGUCGUGGAGUCUGUUGUCAUAUCAGCCAUUGCCUUGUUUGUCAAUCUGGGCAAUCUGCUCAUUGUGUUGACCCUUUAUCAGAAGCCCUACCUCUUAACCCCAAGCAAUAAGUUUGUCUUCAGCCUGACGCUCUCCAACUUCCUGUUGUCAGUACUGGUGCUGCCGUUUGUCGUUGCCAGCUCUCUUAACGGAGAAUGGCUGUUUGGUGUUGUGUGGUGUAACUUUACAGCACUGUUAUAUCUGCUCAUCAGCUCUGCCAGCAUGCUCAUACUGGGAGCCAUUGCCAUUGACAGCUGUUUAAUGGCACUCAGCGGGUGUUGCAGAAUGACACACCUGCACAAAAACUGCCCAUACCUCGCAACGACCAGGUGCUCUGUCUGUCUCCAGCCGACGUAAGGAAGACCCUAUCUAGGAUUAACCCAUGCAAGGCUGCGGGUCCUGAUGACAUACCUGGCCGUGUACUGAGAGACUGUGCUGCACAGCUGACAGAUGUGCUAACAGAUAUCUCCAACACCUCGCUGAGCCAGGCAGUCGUCCCCAUAUAUCUCAAAACCACAACAGUCAUACCAAAGAAAUCACCUGUGUCCUGUCUAAAUGACUACCGUCCCAUAGCACUGACUCCAUUCAUGAUGAAGUGCUUUGAGAGGUUAGUCAUGCACAACAUCAAAACCAGCCUCCCCAACACACUCGAUCCGCUACAUUCAAAACGUGCACAUGACAACUUGCCCCUUUUUUGACCUAAAAACAGUUCAAUUUCAGUUUAGUUUUGUGUUUAGCACUGUUAACUUAUUUCUCUGCUUUUAAAAUACUGUUUAUUACUUUGUCACAUUUUUGUGUUAUAUUUACUGUCACACAUAGCCAGUCUUGCCUGUUUGAAUACAACUAUGAAUAAUGUUUAGACCUGCAAAAAAUUAUGAACCACUAUAAAUUAUGAGUGCAAAGUGGUGCUGUUUUCAAGCACUGAGCUAAUAACAUUGUAAAACUACAUUGACAAUAUUUAGCCUUCUAUUCAAGUCACACGGGGUCAUGAUACUCGCAUUUGAUGUUUCUACAGUGGAAAAAAUAUUUAUAAGUAUUAUUCUUUAAAUACACCUUAUAUUGCAUUUCAAGGUGUAAACAUUUUGUAAUUUAGUAUUCUUUUUUUAAAACAUUUAAAUUAUUCAUUUAAAAAACACUUAUUGCUCAGUUUCUUUUCUAUCAUAACUAUCUUUCUGAUAAUAAACAGCACUUGUAUUUCUAAAUCUGUUUCUCA